GACGAACGCUGGCGGCGUGCUUAACACAUGCAAGUCGAGCGGAGCGGCGAACGGGUGAGUAACGCGUGAGUAACUUCCCCCCUCUCCGGGAUAACAGUUGGAAACGGCUGCUAAUACCAGAUAGUGGGGGAUGGCUCGCGUCCUAUCAGCUUGUUGGUGGGGUAGUGGCCUACUAAGGCGACGACGGGUAGCCGGCCUGAGAGGGCGACCGGCCACAUGGGGCUUGGAGACGGACCAGACGCCUAAGGGAGGAAGCAGUGGGGAAUAUGGGACAAUGGGCGAAAGCCUGAUCCAGCGAUGCGCGUGUGUGAAGAAGGGCUUAGGAUUGUAAAGCUCUUUAAGUUGGGAGGGGAAGUAAGUUAAUACCUUGCUGUUUUGACGGUACCAACAGAAGAAGCACCGGUACUCGUGCCAGCAGCCGCGGUAAUAC
rnacentral:rRNA from 1 species